ACCCAAAUUUUCCCAAAUUCCCUCACUUCUUCAAUGCUCUUCGCGAACGUGAACUCGAUCUUCUGGCAAUAAGAUUCCAGAGAUAGAGAAUUUGGGCGCUACUGAGGGGCGGAUUGCUUUGCUUCAAGGUGAAGUAUCCACAAUCGGAUCUGAUUUGGAGGCACUUAAGGUUUUGGCUUCUGGAUUCUCUGUUGCUUUUUGAAUAGCUAUGCAGGUCACCUAAAUAUCACAAACAUACAUCUCCAAAAUGAGGUCGUGAAGCAGGUGUUAUGCCAAUCUGGUCAGGUGGACUCUUCUUUCGUGACUCGUCUUCCUCGUUGUCAGACCAUGGUUGAAUUGAUGGGGGCACAAGUUUCGAAACCGCUGAUUGCAACCAAGGUUACUCAUCUUAUAUGCUACAAAUUUGAAGGGUAAACAUUCUCAUCAUGAACUCUCUUGUUUGGUGAUGGCAAUUCCGACAACGAAGAGCUUAAGUGAUGUCAAAAGAAGUUGAGUAUAGUCAGUUGGCUGAUGUAGCGACAAUAAGUAGUAAGUGCUGGGAACUAUGAAGUGGAAGUAUGACUACUAAGAAAACGUUAACACGAUGAUUAUUUAACUCGCAUGAAGAUUGUGAAAGAGAUUCAUGAACACAAUGAAGUUUUGAGUUUUUAUUCAUACACUUGUUAGUUUAUUUGGGUUAUAUGUUUGAUCAUUAGAUUUAGAUUGACCCUUAUUAGAUAUUUGGAAUCUUUGUAAGAUUGAUUGAACUUUUAAUUGAAGUGAUUAUUUUAUGAUUUCUACAUUUUA
rnacentral:lncRNA from 1 species